rnacentral:rRNA from 1 species
AAAUUGAAGAGUUUGAUCAUGGCUCAGAUUGAACGCUGGCGGCAGGCCUAACACAUGCAAGUCGAGCGGCAGCGGGAAAGUAGCUUGCUACUUUUGCCGGCGAGCGGC